rnacentral:rRNA from 1 species
AGUGAACGCUGGCGGUAGGCCUAACACAUGCAAGUCGAACGGCAGCACAGUAAGAGCUUGCUCUUACGGGUGGCGAGUGGCGGACGGGUGAGGAAUACAUCGGAAUCUACUUUUUCGUGGGGGAUAACGUAGGGAAACUUACGCUAAUACCGCAUACGACCUACGGGUGAAAGCAGGGGAUCUUCGGACCUUGCGCGAGUGAAUGAGCCGAUGUCGGAUUAGCUAGUUGGCGGGGUAAAGGCCCACCAAGGCGACGAUCCGUAGCUGGUCUGAGAGGAUGAUCAGCCACACUGGAACUGAGACACGGUCCAGACUCCUACGGGAGGCAGCAGUCGGGAAUAUUGGACAAUGGGCGCAAGCCUGAUCCAGCCAUCCCGCGUGGGUGAAGAAGGCCUUCGGGUUGUAAAGCCCUUUUGUUGGGAAAGAAAAGCAGCAGGUUAAUACCCCGCUGUUCUGACGGUACCCAAAGAAUAAGCACCGGCUAACUUCGUG